UACGGAGGGUGCAAGCGUUAUCCGGAUUCACUGGGUUUAAAGGGUGCGUAGGCGGGUUGGUAAGUCCGUGGUGAAAUCCCCAAGCUUAACUUGGGAACUGCCGUGGAUACUAUCAAUCUUGAAUAUCGUGGAGGUAAGCGGAAUAUGUCAUGUAGCGGUGAAAUGCUUAGAUAUGACAUAGAACACCAAUGGCGUAGGCAGCUUACUACACGAUCAUUGACGCUGAGGCACGAAAGCGUGGGGAGCAAACAGG
rnacentral:rRNA from 1 species